AGUAAAUUAAUAAAACCCUAAUUUUUCUCAUAUUUCUCAUUUCUCAAUUCUCAUUUUUCUUUUCUUCUCGAACCUCCCUUCCAAGCCAUCUGAUGGCGCCUCUAUCCUCACUUCUAGUUGUGCCGUUGCUUGCAUCAUUCGCACUUUUGCUAACAGCCACCCUAGCCAGCGCCUACCCCCUAUGCAAGCUACACACCUUCACUGCUUGACCACUAGAUAUGGGAAAAAGCUUGAAGAUUAUAUUAAAAAGCUUUGGAGUACUGUCAGGCCUAAAGCGUUCUAUGUCCAAAGAGAAACAUCGACACUUUCCACCCCAUCGAAAUGAGUAAGUACAUGGAUUUGCUACACCAUCAACUGUGAAACCAACUUAAUGGAGUUGUAAGUUUUAAAUCUUAAAUUAGCAAGUUAUUCUUGAGAAUAAAAUUAGUUCAUUAAUAAAAUUAUUUUUUAGAGUAGAUCCAGGUGGUGGAAUCAAAUUCCUGUAUAGUAUACAAUAUUAGGAGAUGUUAGGUUUAUAUAUUGUCAAACAAUUUACAAAGCAUGUCAAUAUAAAAUAUUAUCUUACCAAGACUUUUGUUUUUGUCAUGCAAGUUGAGUCCUUUCUACAAACAACCUGUUCAUUCUUUCAAGUUAUUUUUACCAUGGAAUAUUAUUGUUUCAUUACAUUAG